rnacentral:rRNA from 1 species
UGAGUGCGAGCGGCUACGGCCGCGAAGUGGGUGAUGUCAAGCUUCCAAGAAAAGCCCUAUACCCGUUAAGGCAUGAUGGCCUGUACCCGAAACCGACACAGGUGGGGUGGUAGAGAAUACCGAGGGGCGCGAGGUAACUCUCUCUAAGGAACUCGGCAAAAUGGCCCCGUAACUUCGGGAGAAGGGGUGCCACCGCAAGGUGGUCGCAGUGAAGAGGCCCAGGCGACUGUUUACCAAAAACACAGGUCUCCGCUAAGUCGCAAGACGAUGUAUGGGGGCUGACGCCUGCCCAGUGCCGGAAGGUUAAGGAAGCUGGUCAGCGCAAGCGAAGCUGGCGACUGAAGCCCCGGUGAACGGCGGCCGUAACUAUAACGGUCCUAAGGUAGCGAAAUUCCUUGUCGGGUAAGUUCCGACCCGCACGAAAGGCGUAACGAUCUGGGCGCUGUCUCGGAGAGAGGCUCGGCGAAAUAGAAUUGUCUGUGAAGAUGCGGACUACGUGCACCCGGACAGAAAGACCCUAUGAAGCUUUACUGUAGCUUGGUAUUGUGCCCGGGCUCUGAAUGCGCAGGAUAGGUGGGAGGCUUUGAUCCAUGGCUUGCGGGUCAUGGUGAGCCAACGGUGAGAUACCACUCUUUCAGAGCUAGGGUUCUAACGGUCACCCGUCAUCCGGGGACCGGACAGUAUCAGGUGGGCAGUUUGACUGGGGCGGUCGCCUCCUAAAAGGUAACGGAGGCGCGCAAAGGUUUGCUCAGGCUGGUUGGAAAUCAGCCGACGAGUGCAAAAGCAGAAGCAAGCUUGACUGUGAGACCUACAAGUCGAACAGGGACGAAAGUCGGCUUUAGUGAUCCGACGGUUCUGAGUGGAAGGGCCGUCGCUCAACGGAUAAAAGUUACUCUAGGAUAACAGGCUGGUCUCCCCCAAGAGUUCACAUCGACGGGGAGGUUUGGCACCUCGAUGUCGGCUCAUCGCAACCUGGGGCUGAAGUCGGUCCCAAGGGUUGGGCUGUUCGCCCAUUAAAGCGGUACGCGAGCUGGGUUCAGAACGUCGUGAGACAGUUCGGUCCAUAUCCGGUGCACGCGCAGGAACAUUGAGAGGAUUUCUCCCUAGUACGAGAGGACCGGGAGGAACGCACCUCUGGUGUGCCAGUUAUCGUGCCAACGGUAAACGCUGGGUAGCCAUGUGCGGAGUGGAUAACCGCUGAAAGCAUCUAAGUGGGAAGCCCACCUCAAGAUGAGUGUUCCCAUGGCAUAAGCCAGUAAGGUCACGGGAAGAACACCCGUUGAUAGGCUCUACGUGGAAGCCGGGUAACCGGUGAAGCGGAGGAGUACUAAUAGACCGAGGGCUUGAC